UGGGGAAUAUUGCACAAUGGGCGAAAGCCUGAUGCAGCAACGCCGCGUGAGUGAUGACGGUCUUCGGAUUGUAAAGCUCUGUCUUUGGGGACGAUAAUGACGGUACCCAAGGAGGAAGCCACGGCUAACUACGUGCCAGCAGCCGCGGUAAUACGUAGGUGGCAAGCGUUGUCCGGAUUUACUGGGCGUAAAGGGUGCGUAGGCGGACCUUUAAGUGAGAUGUGAAAUCCCCGAGCUUAACUUGGGGGCUGCAUUUCAAACUGGAGGACGUGAGUGCAGGGGAGGAGAAUGAAAUUCCUAGUGUAGCGGUGACAUGCGUGAGGAUUAGGAAGACCACCAGUGACGAAGCCGACUCUCUGGACUGUAACUGCCGCUGAGGCACGAAAGCGU
rnacentral:rRNA from 1 species